rnacentral:rRNA from 1 species
GACGAACGCUGGCGGCGUGCUUAACACAUGCAAGUCGAACGGAAAGGCCUGCUUUUCCUUGUGGAUUGCGGGUACUCGAGUGGCGAACGGGCGAGUAACACGUGAGUGAUCUGCACCCAACUUGGGUAUAAGCCCGGGAAACUGGGUCUAAUUCCCGAUUGGACUGCAGGGUGGUGCCUGUGGUGGAAAACGAUUUUCUAGUGGUUGGGGAUGAGCCCGCGGCCUAUCAGCUUGUGGGUGGGGUAAUGGCCUACGACGGCGGGGACGGGUAGUCGGCCUGAGAUGGUGGACGGCGGAAUUGGGACUGAGUCACGGCCCCUACGCCAACGGGCAGUAGCAGAUGUGAAGCAUGAGGAGUGAGCGGAACGCUGAGGCAGCGACUCAGCGAGGGGGAUGACGGGCUUGGGGUUGUAUGCUACUUUGGACCACGAGGAGGCCACGUGGUUGGAAGGGUGGUGACGGUAGUGGUAGAAGAAGCACCGGCUAACUACGUG